AAUGGGUGUAAAGGGGGAUUUAAUGGGGUUUAUAGGGCACGGAGAGGGGUUAUAAGGGGCUGGGAGAGCUCCGCCCUAUAGAGCGGCCCGCUUGGGUUCGGGAUCGCUCGGCCCAAGGUCACCCCACGGUGUUCGGCUCCAUUCGGGUCCAUUCGGAACUAUUCGGGUCCGUUCGGGUCUAUUCGGGUCCAUUCGGAACUAUUCGGGUCCGCUCGGCUCUUUCCGCUGUUCUAAUGGUGGUGGGGGGUUUAAAUGGGGGACAAAAGGGGCUCAGAGACCUCGUGGGAUUCGGGUUCGGUUCGGUUGGCCGCUGGGUGGUACCGAAGGAACCGAUCCGGCCGCUUUCUGUUCCUUUGGUACCGCCCAGCAGCACUGUCUGUUCAUAAAGGGCUUUAAACGUCCCCCCCCCCCGUGUAAAGGGAGGCCCUCCACGUGUUGAGCUGAGAGCAGGAGGAAAUAGGGACUCCAUAAGGUUUGAAUGUAAAUUGAGUGUUACGUGUUGGAACCGGCUGAGGCCAAAAGAUGCAAAUAAAGGUGGUUUUAAGUGCGUUGGAAAGUGCCUAAAGGGGGUUAGAAGGGAGGUUUGGAAGGAAUAGAAUCAUAGAAUGGGUUGAAAAGGGGCACAAUGAGCAUCCAGGUCUAACCCCAUGCUAUGUGCAGGGUCACCAGCCAGCACACCACAUCCAGCCUGGCCUUAAACCCCUCCAUAGGGCAUCCACAGCCCCCACCAUAGACCCUCCACCCCCUUAUGGGUUUCACCAUAGACCCUCCUGUCUCACUUGCACUCAUAGAACCACAGGCAUUAAGGUUGGAGACCACUAAGAUCCAGUAAAAGUGCAUCCCUCAGUGGCACAUCUACACAUGGGUGCAAUGUGGGUUCUGAUAUAGAGCCUUCAUCUCCGUGCUGUUCCCAGCUGCUUAAUGACUUAAUUGCAUUGUGCUCAAUUAGCGUGGUCUUAAAGCUCCAAGGGGCAAGGUAAUGGAUUGGAAGAGGCUCAUACUGUGUGAGGGGUGUUGAUGUUUGUGGGUUCAGCUUUGUGAGCUCUCAGAUUCAAAGCUGGAAAGGAUGAAAGGAGCAGUUGUAGUCAUCUGCCUGCAGCCCUGCAAAGGAAGUUCUGUUCUGAAAGACAGCGUGAGGUCAAGGCCUUCAACGUGCUGCCGCAGUUGACCUGAGGCAACCCUGCUUUUUUGUUUGUUGCAAGGUAUGUAAGAUGACUACGAGUAAUUAAUAAUGGAAUUGGAAGGUUUCAGUGACCACGGGCUGUGGGGAGUCCUCCUUCCUGCAGCCAGCUUGGCUUUGUGUCAGAAUGCAGCUGGUGUUUCAUAUUGAUCCUUUAUUGAUUGAUCUCGUACAGCAAAGCCAUCCAAGGGGACUUCAGAAGCCGAACUGAAAUGUGUUUGGCUAUGAAAGUCUAUCUGUGUAGUCAUGGGCUGCCUCCAAACUUUGGUCUGAGCGUGAUCAGAGCUUUUAUAUUUACUGUUAAGAAAUGGAGUUGUUAUAUUACAGAGCUUAUAUGACCCGAAAUACACAGGCAUGAGAGUGAGCACGUGGAUCUGUGCUUGUGUGUGUGCUGCUGGGGUAGCUGGACUAUUAAGCUUUGCCUAUUGGCAGCUCCCUGUAUGAUUUAAGGGUCAUUUCUGAUGUGUUUUAUGGGAAUUUAAGGGAUUUUUUACUGCUACACAAGACUUUUGUCACCUACCAACUAGUGACUGAGGGGGUGGAGCUGGGCUUUUGUGUAUCACUGGGUUAUUUAGUGGCCCUUAUUUCCAUGUGCAGCAUGUCUGCUCGUCCAGCAUUGCUGCUGGUUGUUGCGUAAGGGCCGUGCUGUGAUGACAUAGCACACACAACAGAAUCUGCUGCUUGCUUCUGUUGCAAGCUGUCACUUCGCUGUUGCUCCCUCCUGCCUAUAAGGGGUGGCUGUGUCCCAUUGCAGUUGGCUGCUCCUGGAAGGAGGUGAGAGGGAGCUGUGGGGUUUUGUUCUGUUUAUUGCUGCUAAAAUAGCUUUGAGCUGUGGUUGGAAGAGGGAGAACUUCAGCUUUCCAUUUGCAAGCUGCAGCUUUGCUUGGAAAUGUAGAAGCCAGACUAAAGCAGCUGGUUCUUGAGGAUUGGUAGAGAAAUAGAGGGUGUCUUCCAUUGCCUUGUGCAGGCUCACAAAGCAGAGGUCUUGCACUGGUGCCUCUUAAU